GCACAGCAAUGACAUAGAGAGCAUAGCAACCACCCUGGGAGGGCCUAUGAGCCAUAACAACCAGUUGACCAAUCAACACAGGGCAAGCCCUCCAAGCCUGGAAGCACACCAAUCGUGAGCCUGUGCGUAAGCCUGUGCGUACCCCUAGACACUCCCCUUACGCUGCCCUAUAAGAUCUUUUGGGAGCCCGUAGAAGCCGUCUUUUCUAGCUGUCUGCCAUGGCGGGUGGGUGAAAGACCCGAGCUAACAUGGGGUUAGUUCGUUAAAUUACAAUAAAGCCUCGUGCAGUUUGCAGCAAGCUCUCGAAUCUGCCUGGUGAUUGGGGUGACCGCGAACGUGGCCUGGGACCCCGAAUACUUGAGUUUUCGGGGGUCUAACAGGCUUUGAACUUCUGAUCCUUUUGCCUGUACCUUCGGAGUACUGGGGAUAGCCUACAUGUGCUGCCACACUGGACUUACUAGCUCAGGAUCCAAACCAGAGCUUUGUACAAGCUAGGGAAGUAUUCUACUGACUGGGCUACAGCUUCUACCCCAGAACAGACUUCAAAUAUACCACCAAUUGUGAUAUGCUUCAGAAUAGCAAAAAAUGAAACAAUUCUUAAAAACGUCAAGAAAAGUCUGUUAAUCAAAAAGGAGUGUGUAUCAGACCGGUAAUGAGACUCUCCAGAAAUGCAAAAUGUUAAAAGGUAAGUAUAAACCAAGAACUGUAUUUCCAGCCAAGCGACCUUUCCAUUGUAAGUCUACAGAUACCCAAGAGCCACUACGAGCCACUGCCCAAAUGCUUUCCAGGAUGGGUCUAGUAACUUCCACCUCAGCACGCUCACUAACAGCCUAUCAUCUCAGCAAAGGGCCGGUGCAGACAGGACGGUUGUUCUGAAGGAACCGGCUUCCCUUUUGGCAGCCAUAAUGGUCGAACAUGUGCUUCUAUGACCUUGACCUAGUCACUAAAGUCAGAUGCCUGUCUCGUGACAAGGAGCCAAUCAGAGGUUAGCUGGUGGCGCUAUGCUUUACGACCCUGGGUGUGCUUUACAGACAAGCGCACAGCAAUGACGUAGAGAGCAUACGCAACCACCCUGGGAGGGCUAUGAGCCAUAACAACCAGUUGACCAAUCAACACAGGGCAAGCCCUCCAAGCCUGGAAGCACACCAAUCGUGAGCCUGUGCGUAAGCCUGUGCGUACCCGUAGACACUCCCCUUAUGCUGCCCUAUAAGAUCUUUUGGGAGACCCAAGGAGCCCCUCUUUUCUAGCUGUCCGCCAUGUCGGGUGUGUGAAAGACCCGAGCUAACAUGGGGUUAGCUCGUUAAAUUACAAUAAAGCCUCGUGCAGUUUGCAGCAAGCUCUCGAAUCUGCCUGGUGAUUGGGGUGACCGCGAACGUGGCCUGGGACUCCAAAUACUCGAGUUUUCGGGGGUCUAACAGUUCAAGGUCAAUCUUCCAGUCAGCAGACAACAACAAACUAAAGAAUAAGAUCUCACCAGUGUAGCUUGAAAACUACUGGUUUACAAAAGAAAAAAAAUAAUUAAGUGAAAAACUUUGCAAAACAGAAACGUUAAGGGAAAAAAAAAAAAAUUGAAACCACAACUUUAUCUUCCGGAGACAGGACUAAUGUUUCAUUGUCAGGGGAAUUUUUGUUGGUUCUGUUUUUCAAGACCAGUCUAGCCUCGAACUCAUACAUCCUCCUGCCUCUGCCUCCUGAGGGAUGGAAUUAAAGGCGUGCACCACCACUUGGCUUACAGUGCAAUUGUAAAUUUGGUUCUUUUCCAGUCUCGUGCUUUAAUCUUGCAGAAAACACAACCCCUUUGAUGUAGAUCUAAAUUUCCUUUUUACUUGGAAAAAAACUAAACUACAAAAGGCUAAGAUAUCACUAUCUCCUUGGUUCCUUGCUAGGCAUGACAUUUACAGUGUAAGUCAGGGGUGGGGCACGUCUUAAAUUACUCCAUGCGUUCCCAUUUAACCCACACAAUAAUAAUGGGAAAAUAGCCUCUGAUGUUUCUUAGAAAGCGUGUCAUACCGCAUGUGGCCGCCCAGUUGGAAGAUCUCAUGCUCUGGUUACCCCAAUCUAAGUUUAAAUGUAAAUUAACCUCCCCACCUUGGUCCUCUUCAUUCAUACACAGAGAACCACCCUAAGUUUCUACAGCCAAAGAGCUGUCCAUCGCAGGCUUUGUGUCCCGACUUGACUGACCAUGGACUGUGGGCAGGGAGUUAGUCGCUCCUGAGAUACGAACCAACUUGGGUCGGUGAGUAAUUCCAUCUACUCUGGGCGUGUGACAUCUUCUUACCUGCGGGAUGGACCAGCGUUCAAUCCGUGGAGUUACUGUACCCUGCUGCCCACAGCCCGUUACAGACCCUCAAUCACCAGCCUCAAAGGAGAGCGCCCCAAGACACAGGGAGAAACACCGCCGACAGCCCGGGACUGCGAGCCGCCCACUCGCCCGCCCGCCGGCCGGCACGCGCGGGUUGGAGCCCGGCCAACCCGCAGCGCGCCCUACACACCCCACAGGCGAGCCAGCCUCCCGCCGAGAGACGCCCUCACCUCAGCCCUGGAGACUCGCGCCCUCAGCCAGCCGGCUCGGCCGCUACCACACGCCCGCCUUCCCCGGCCGGGCCAGAUGCUCAUUGGCUACAGCCCCUGCCGCUCAGCGCCUCGGACGCUCCCGCGCGUCCCGAGGCCUCCGGGUGCUGGUCGGAGAGCGCCGCCACCUGAUUGGCCAGCGCCGGCCCUCGGCGGGUCUCGCGCUAUCUGCUGUGGCCAAUGGGACUCCCCGCAGUCUAGAGAGCCGCGUCGCUGGAGCGGUGGCGCAGCUUUUGGCUCGAAACGGGAAGCGAGCGGAGACUGCCGCUAACUUUUUUGUUGUUGUGAGACAGAAUCCUACCUACUCGAGAUUCGAUUCAAAUUAGGUCUGGCUGUUCCCCACUGCUCCUCAGUGAUUUGGGGCAGGAAAAGAUUUGGAAAGACAGAAACCAAAGAAGAUGGGAGACUGCCACCAGCAAAGACCAUUUAGAGAAGAAUUUGGGUGCAAAGAGCUUUUCUAGAGAGUAAAUAACAAUGGCAACACCAGAUAGAAAAGAACACAGAAGAACAAGGAAAAACAGCUUUUUUUUUUUUUUAAAGAAAUCAAUAACAAGAACUUGGAAAAAAUGAAGGGCAUAUGGAAUCAGUGAAGUUUCUUUUUUUAAUUUCCAAGAUAAAUACCUCUGGGAUACAAGAAGGUAAAAGUCCUUAGUAACUGGGUUAGGUAGGUUUGCAUCAUUUUUCAGGAAGCAUCUUGUCAAGAUGUAUCAACAAAGAAGUCUGUCUUGACCUUUUCUAGGAGAAUCCUGAGGAAAUUAAAUCAAAGCCUUAUGCUCUCCUAUAACUUCAUCCUUUUGAAAAAUUGGAACUACCAGAAUAGUUUCUACAUUGUGACAUGACCAUUGUGAUGGGUUGAGUUUCCACUUUUUGAAAGCUAAUGAAAAAAGUGUGCAUAAUUGGAGAAACAACCUGUGAGAAGGAAAAAAAUUUGCACAGCAAGGACAAGAUUGCUGUUGCUAAUCUAUAGUACAAACAGUAUGGCCUUCGGCUUCUGGGUGAACUGCAUCUGCACACUACUGCAGCCAUCAGCUCCUGGGUGAAAUGCAUCUGCACACUACUGCAGCCAUCAGUUCCUAGAUGAAAUGCAUCUGCACUUUACUGCAUUUAUCAGCUCCUGGGUGAAAUGCAUCUGCACUUUACUGCAGCCAUCAGCUCCUGGGUGAAAUGCAUCUGCACAUUACUGCAGCCAUCAGCUCCUGGGUGAAAUGCAUCUGUACUUUACUGCAGCUAUCAGCUCCUGGGUGAAAUGCAUCUGUACUUUACUGCAGCCAUCAGCUCCUGGGUGAAAUGCAUUUGCACUUUACUGCAGCCAUCAGCUCCUAGAUGAAAUGCAUCUGCACACUACUGCAGCCAUCACUUGGCACUGUCAGUGUUUGGUUUUUUGUUUUUUUAUUUCUGCUGUUACAGGAGAGAUAGAGUGGCAUCUUACAGUGGACUUAAUCUACAUUUCUCUUCCAAUGAUGAUUCUUUUCUCUAAUGAAGAAAUGAGAACCUGUAUUUGCUUCUCUAUAGAUACUUACAACAAUUUUGUUUGUCACCACCACCAAAACUGGAAUCAACUCAGGUCAAUUGGACAAUACAGUUUCAAAAGCUCCAACUUAUGAACAAAACUAACUUGGGACCUCUGUUUUAAUCCAGAAAAAUAUGUAAAUAUAUAAAAAUUAUCACAUAAGAAUAAAAAUUCAUACAUUAGAUUACAUUGUGAAAAGAUGCUUUAGAAAUGUGGCCACAAAGAAGAUUAAAAUGGUAAUCUUAAGUAUUUUAGCUCAGAGAAAUUGUAGUAAAGGUGAAAUCUUUUUUGUUGUUGUGCUCUGAUUUGUAUGUUUUGUAGCUGAGGCUGGCUGGAUGUGAUUCUCCUGGCUAUCUCCAUAAUGCUAGAACUACACGUGUGAGCUACUAUGUCUCGUUUAAGUUUAAAUCUUUUAAAGAAACAGUAAAGCAGAAAAAAGGGGAUCUCAGAAGUAAUAUAGCUACACCUUACCAGAAUAACAAGUGAGGGCUGAUGGAACUCAUGGAGUGUUUGAGAAAAGGAGGCAUUUUUAGUGACAAAUUAGAAAAUGGAAAAUACGAACCACAGAUGGCACAAUAAGAGAAAAAGGAGAAAUAAGAACUCAAUAUCUUUUUAAAAGCUUGCGGCAUGGUAGUGCAGACCUUUAAUCCCAAAGCCUGGAGGCAGAGGCAGGCGGAUCUCUCUGUGAGUUCCAAACAAGUCAGGGACAUAUUCUUAAAAAAAAAAAAAAGACAGGAGAGGCAGCCAAAUAGUUUUUCUCAUGUGAACUGAAGUUCAAUGGUGGUUGUAUAACAUUGUACUUAAUGCCAGUAGAUUGAAAGCUUAAAAAUGGCCUAAAUGGUAAACUUUGUGCUCAUUUUGUCAUAAUAAACCCUGUAAAGUAAAGCAUUGAACUACAACAACUGUCAAGCUACAGUUCCUGAACACUCAACACUAAAGAAGGAUAAAGGCUGGCUCUGCUGAAAGGCACCCCAAGAUCUGGAACUCAGCCCAGAGCACUUAAUACUGAGAUGUAGUAUUGUAAAAAUGGUUGGAUUUUAAAAUCAUGGAAAAAAAAAAAAAGCUCAAGUGGAUUGGAAAAAUAGCACAUGGAUUUGAUGUUUUGGGCAGCUACAUUUCAUUCUAGAUAAUAAAGCAACAGUUUAAAAAACUAUUAAAUGAAAUGCAAUUAUUCAUAUCACCAGACUGUCCUUUAAGAACUUGAGGACAUUGCUAUGUAUGGUGGCAUGCCUAUAAUCUUAGCACUUAGGAGCCUGAGGUAGAUGGAUCAGAGUUCAAGGUCAUCCUCUAUUAAAUAGUAAGUUCCUGGUCAACGUGGUCUACCAAAAGGUUCAGUCACAAAACAAUUUAAGGAUUAUUGUUUCAGUGCUUCCUGAAGGAAUAUACUAGUGAAAAAAUUUCAAACAGUAAAUGAUUCAGGAAAUGUUCAACAUAAAAUCAAGUUGUAAACAUUAAAUAUAUUGUAAUGAUGGGAAUAAUGGUUUUAGAGUUAUGCUAUCUGACAAUGUAGAAAAAAUAUGACCCACUGUCAGGAAGUCUGUUUUAGAGGAAAUAAAGGUACUGCCCCCGAGUUGAAUAUGAGUAGCCAUGUCUGAUGGUUAUGUUCUUUUGUUGAAGAAAUUACAAGAGUUUAAUAGUCACAGAAAGUCAUAAAUCAAUUUAAAUUGUUUUAUUCUUUGUUAAUUUCAUACACAAAUCACAAAUAUGUAUGUAACGUUGUUAGAUCAUAUCCAUCCCCACUACCUCCUCCAUCCCAUCCCAGAUCACAUCCCCCUUUCAACUUUGUGGGUCUUUUUAUUUUCUCUUUUCCCCACUAAGUCCUUUUAGUUCUGACAAUAUGUGUAUAGGGAUUGGUUACCAUCCACUGGCAUAUAGACAACUUGUCCUGAGCCAUACCAGUGAAGAAGAUGUACUUUUCCUCUCCCAGCAGCUACCUACUGUCUGUAGCAACUAGGCUAGGGGUGGGACCUCAUGAACCUCUCUCCUUUCCAUGCUGGAGUGUUGAUGGGUGUGAACUUGUGCAUAUUUUGUGCUCACAACCACAGCUGCUAUGAGUUCAUAAGGGCAGUGGCGUUCAUUUUAUAGCAGUCCCCCAGACCUCUGCUCUUAAAAUCUUUUUGAUUCCUUUUCUGCAGUGUUCCCUGAGUCUUGAGAGAUGGUGGUAAGGGGUGUGGUGUAGAAGUCCCAUUUAGGCCUGAGCACUCCACAGUCACUUAAUCUCUGCACUUGACCAGUUGUAAGUCUUGGUAUCAAUUUCCAUCCACUACAUAAGGUGUGAGAGUUGCACUGGUCUAUGAGUAUAAGGAUAAGUAUGUAGAAGGCAGUUUGACGCCAUGUUCCUUUAGCAAAAAAAAUAAUGGUAGGGUUUAUGACCUCCCUAGCCAUGGGUUCUUGCCUAGUUUUAAAAUACCGGACAUGACUUUUCUGCUGUGAAGUGGGCCUUAAGUCCAAGUAGAAAGUUGUUGGUUAACCUUCAUUAUUUGUGCCAGUAUUGCACCAAUGGACACACCUUCCAGGCCAGAUGUCAUAGCUCACAGGUUCCACAAGUGGGUAAGACUUAAGGGCUUUUUCCCCUUGGCAGCCUAUAUGGUAUCUUCCAGCAUGUGUAAGCUAGCUGGGGAUGAUUGUCUGAUGAACCAACUAUGUCAUCAAAUAAUUGGAACUUCAGGACUGGGGAGAUAGAUAGCUCAACUGGAAAGUGCUUGCCUUGUGAACAUGAAGAUAGAAUUCAAUCCCCAGAAUUCAAGUUAAGAAAGAUGGAUUUGGUGACUCAGACUUGAAAUCCUACUACUAUGGAGACAGAUAUGGAGGGUUUCUGGGGACUGCCCCCCUUGCCAGCAGCCUAGCCUACUUGUUGAGGUCCAGCCUUUGAGAGACCCUGUCUCAAAAAUAAGGUGCAUGGUAACCGAGGAACAACAUUUGAGGUUAUCCUUUAACCUCCAUGUGUACACUGUAGUGCACUACCGAGCGUGUGCGCUCUCUCCCUCCCUCCCUCUCCCUCC
ensembl:lncRNA